UGCUUCUUGGAAGGAUUUGCUAAUGUUACGGAGAAGUUAUAAAAUGAAGAAAGAACUUCACUUGGGCAACAGCAUCAAUGUUAGUGCAGCAAAGGUUCCAUCUGUGACAAGAGAACAGACCUAUCUAGCUUCUCCAAGGGAGCUGUGGCGUUUUUGGGCAGUUGUAUAGAUGGAGACCCAAGCAAAAGGCAGAUGAUGGAUGAAACUUGAAGCUGACCGUAUUCCCUCUCAUAAUCUUGGGGUGGUAAACACUGUAUUCGUCUGUUUUGGGGGGUAAAAGGGCCAUUUAGGCAAAUCUAAUUGUGUUUUUUCCUUUAUUGUGGGCCCACAAAAAUGAUUAUUACAUUUCAUCUAAUGUGUGUUCUGUUCAUUGUUAUGUCAUAGAACUUGCUUAUCA